rnacentral:rRNA from 1 species
AACGAACGCUGGCGGCAUGCCUAACACAUGCAAGUCGAACGAACCUUUCGGGUUUAGUGGCGGACGGGUGGGUAACCCGUGGGAACAUGCCUUUAGGUUCGGCAUAACUCUGGGAAAGGGGUGCUAAUACCGAAUUGGGUCUUCGGCGGAAAGAUUUAUCGCCUAUCGUGGGGCCCGCGUUGGAUUAGCUUGUUGGUUGUGGAAAUGCCUACCCAAGGCGACGUUCAUUGGCUGGGCUGAGAGCAUGAACGGCCACAUGGGGACUGAGACACGGCCCAGACUCCUACGGGAGGCAGCAGUGGAGAAUAUUGCGCAAUGGGCGAAGGCCUGACGCAGCCAUGCCGCGUAAAUGAUGAAGGUCUUAGGAUUGUAAAGUUCUUUCACCGGGGACGAUAAUGACGGUACCUGGAGAAGAAGCCCCGGCUAACUACGUG